rnacentral:lncRNA from 1 species
UUACGUCCACCUUAUCUCCUUCUCUGGGCCAAACCAGUAAGGAGAAUGAUGAACGAUCAUUGACAUACAGUUCGAAAACUAAGCCCAUCACUAUCUCAUUCUCAGAGAAUGGACCAUACUGGUUUCAUAAGUAUGAGGACGUGCGGAAGGGCAAAAUCGACAUUUCACUGUUUUUCUGGGUGUACCAGGAAAACAGCUGGGUGCGCCUAGCAGUUCCCAAGUAUCUAUGAAUUCUAGGCCCACAUGACUUCAGUAUGUAACCUUUGUAUAUUUUUGUUUAUUAAUUUUAGACUGUAUGUGGUGUUUUAUUAUUUAUUUUUGAAAAUAUUUGUAUAUGCAUGAAUUGUAAUUGUAAUAUAUUCUCAAUUACAAUUUUUUGUGAUAUUUUUAAA